GCUGCACUUUUUUCGUCUUGGAUCACCAAAAAUCCUUUUACCCAUUUUUGCAUUCCCUUGUUGGCUUGGUCUUGCGCGUGGUUACUCUUAAAUGCUAAAAACUUCAAUUUGGUUUUUUUUGUAGGACUAUUGCUACUGACGAUCAUAGCCUAAACAGAUGGCCCGUACCUAAGCCAUUUUGGUGUUAUCCGACAUGGCAUCUGUCUGAGGAAGAAAUUGAUGUAGACGAGUUUGUAGCCGACAUGAAUGUCCCCUUUUGAUGAAUUGUGGUUGUAUUCUUUUGGGUAUCAAACGGAACUCGCUAACUUAGAUAAAACGGAGUCGCUGAUUCAAAAUGAAGUUGAAAUCAGCUGAACAUUUACUGGCAGGACUAGGUUGUUCUGCACAUAAGUGCAGCUAGUUUACUUCCUUUGUACUACCUCCGUUCUAGUGUAGCCUGUGCAUGCACGUAUCGUACCUGCUGCCGGCGUCGAUUAAUUCGGACCGGAGGUAAUAGAAAGCAAUAGUUUCUAUUUCUUGCUUGGCACUUUGACCAUGCAUAUGGUAAAUGUGGUUUUUGAU